GCCAUAUCUAGGUUGGCCUUCCUAUUCCCUAGCACUCAGUAGCAAUGAUCUUUAUGUGUUUUGUUAACGAUAAAAUCUGUUACUCUUAGAAACAAAAUUAAUGACCGCUCUUGCCUUUGACCAGUAUAGUGUAUCAACAGCUCCCGCGGAAACCUCUAAGUUCCCAUAUUACACUAGAUACGCUAAACUAGAAUGCUUUUCAGCCGAGCGAAACCGUUGAACAAUUAAAUUCAAUGAGAGUCCUUUCUUCUAAACCCAUCAACGUGUAUG